rnacentral:lncRNA from 1 species
AACAACACAGCUUUGGGCUUGAAAAUGAAAUGAAGAAUAUUCCAUGGGGAAGACAGUGAAGAAAUCAGCCAGGAUGGAUAUAAAGACAUCAAAAUGACUUUGAGAUCUAUAAAAAAUAGAUGCCAAAAUUUGUAUAUUCUACCGAUAUCCAGGUAACACAGUCCAUUUGUUUGCACAAUGUUUAUUUUUUCUUUACUCCUUGCUAAUUCUUCAUUUCAUCUAAAGCUACAUGAACACUUUGACUUUUCCUACUCUUUACCAACUAAUUCAUAUGGCUUCACUUUAAAACAAAAAUAAGAGAAUUUCAUGGAUUAGAUAUUUAUGGCAUUGCUCUUAAUUUUGAGUUUCAGUUUUUAAAUUACAGAAGAAUGUCAGAGCUAGUGAUUUUUGGAAAGAGGUAUUGAUACAAUUAUACAGGAAUUAUUCUGCUAACAUAAGUAGAAUAAUCUGGUAUGUUCUUUUCUCUAAAGAUACUCUGAUUGAUAUGAGAAUGCCAUAGAGUAUUGACAAAGAGAAAAAAAGUUUCUGCCAAAUUUUCAAGCUAUUUAAACAUGAGUUCUGUUUCAUAAUUUUGCCUACAAUCUCUUCCAAUAAAAAUGUUAUUGUCUCAGAAUAAAUGUUUAAUACCUAAAGUGUUCUUUGGUCUCAAAGUGUCAAAAUGUUAACAAUGUGAUUUGGUAUUACUGACUUUUUUCUAUCAGCAUAGCUGAGAACCACUGAUAUAAAAUUUCCAUAUAUUAAAAAUAUAUUUUCUCUCAUAACUUUAAAAAGUCUUCAUUUUUCUGAUUAAGCACUGAAACUUUGACUUUUAAUUCUUCUUUUUUGAAUUCUGAUUAUUCAAGAUAGGUUAUUCACACUUUGGGCAACUCACUACAUUUCUGUGGCAUAUCAGAAAAGUCCUUUUUCUUGGUCAGCUUAUUUUAGGAAUCCUAUAAAUAUGUCCAAACUGCAAUACAAUGUGCUCAUGAGUUUGAUAUGUUUAUACAUUUGGAUAACCUUUUGGAUAACCAUUACUACAAUCAUCAUAUAGAAGAUUACCAUCAUCCCAUCUCCAAAGUGUUUCCUUAAUACCUGCCCAAUCCAUUCCACCUACACUCAUCAUAAUGCUAAACUUCAUUUAUCAUAAUGAUGCUAUUCAUCUUUAAUAGAUUUUCAAAUAAAUGGAUUCAUACAUUUUGAACUCUCUUGUGUAUGGAGUCCUUCACUCAAGAUAAUGUUGUUGAGGUGCAUCCAUGUUAUUGCAUGUCAUCAAUAGUUCAUUUCUUUUUAUUUCUGAGCACUAUUUCACUUAUGAUCAUACUGUUAAUUUGUUUAUCCAUUCAACAGUUAUAUAUAUGUUGUUUCCAGUUUGGAGUUCUUUCAAGUAAAGCUGCUGUGAACAUUCAUGUUCAAAUGUUUGUAUGGACAAAUGUUUUUAUUUUUUAAAAUGUCUAAAUUGGAGUGGCAGGGUCUCAUGGUAAGUAUAUGUUUAGCUUUAUAAGAAAGUGCAAAACUGCUUUCCAAAAUGUUUGUAUAUUUUUACAAUCCCACCAGCAAUGUACAAGAGUUCCAGUUGCUCCACAAUCUUGACAGAAUCUGGGUUUUGCCAGUCAUUUAUUUUAGUAAUUCUGUGUAUACAGACUUUCCUCUUUAAAAAAUUAUUUGUAUAAAUUUAAUGGAGUAUAAUCAUAAUUUUGUUACAUAGAUAUAUUGAGAGUGGUGAAGUCAGGGCUUUUAGUGUAUCCAUCACUGGAAUAAUGUACAUUGUACCCAGUAAUUAAUUUCUCUUCAUCCACCCCCUCCUACCCCCACCCUUCUGAGUCCCUAUUUUCUGUCAUUCCACACUCUACCUCUGUGUGUACACAUUAUUUAUUUCCACUUAUAAGUGAGAACAUGUGGUAUUUGUCAUUCUGUGUCUGAGUUGUUUCACUUAAGAUAGUGGCCUCCAGAGACUUUUCUAUCUUAUAUUAAAUUGCAUCUUCUCUGAUGACUGGCAUUGAACAUCUUUUGUGAUGAAUUUGAUCUUUCUAAUAUCUCAUUUUGUAAACUGUCUGUUAAAAAUUUUUGGUUUUUUUUUCCUGAGUUUAUUGUUUUGUUAUGCUUUAUUUUAUUAUAUUUUAUUGUGUGUUUAUUGUUUUAUUAUGUUUUAUUAUUGUUUUAUUAU